rnacentral:rRNA from 1 species
GAUGAACGCUGGCGGCGUGCCUAAUACAUGCAAGUCGAGCGAACGGACGAGAAGCUUGCUUUUCUGAUGUUAGCGGCGGACGGGUGAGUAACACGUGGAUAUCCUACCUAUAAGACUGGGAUAACUUCGGGAAACCGGAGCUAAUACCGGAUAAUAUUUUGAACCGCAUGGUUCAAAAGUGAAAGACGGUCUUGCUGUCACUUAUAGAUGGAUCCGCGCUGCAUUAGCUAGUUGGUAAGGUAACGGCUUACCAAGGCAACGAUGCAUAGCCGACCUGAGAGGGUGGUCGGCCACACUGGAACUGAGACACGGUCCAGACUCCUACGGGAGGCAGCAGUAGGGAAUCUUCCGCAAUGGGCGAAAGCCUGACGGAGCAACGCCGCGUGAGUGAUGAAGGUCUUCGGAUCGUAAAACUCUGUUAUUAGGGAAGAACAUAUGUGUAAGUAACUGUGCACAUCUUGACGGUACCUAAUCAGAAAGCCACGGCUAACUACGUG